UACGAAGGGUGCAAACGUUGCUCGGAGUUAUUGGGCGUAAAGCGCACGUAGGCGGCUUUGCAAGUCCGAUGUGAAAUCCCACGGCUCAACCAUGGAAGUGCAUCGGAAACUGCAGCGCUUGAGUACGAAAGAGGAUCGCGGGAAUUCCCGGUGUAGAGGUGAAAUUCGUAGAUAUCGGGAGGAACACCAGUGGCGAAGGCGGCGAUCUGGGUCGAUACUGACGCUGAGGUGCGAAAGCGUGGGGAGCAAACAG
rnacentral:rRNA from 1 species